UACGGAGGGUGCAAGCGUUAUCCGGAAUCAUUGGGUUUAAAGGGUCCGUAGGCGGGCUGUUAAGUCAGGGGUGAAAGUUCUGCGCUCAACGUGGAAAUUGCCUUUGAUACUGGCGGUCUUGAAUAUGUGUGAAGUAAUUAGAAUAUGUAGUGUAGCGGUGAAAUGCAUAGAUAUUACAUAGAAUACCGAUUGCGAAGGCAGGUUACUAACACAUCAUUGACGCUGAUGGACGAAAGCGUGGGUAGCGAACAGG
rnacentral:misc_RNA from 1 species